rnacentral:rRNA from 1 species
AACAAAAUAAUUUUCUUUAAAUAAUUUUUUUUAUUAAUUUAUAAAUUAAUUUAAAAAUUUAUAGUUUUAAAUAAAUUUUUUUGAUUUUUAAAAAUUAAUUUCAUUAAUUAAUUAUAUAAAAGAAAAAUUUUUUUUUUAUACCUUUUGUAUCAGGAUUAAUUAAAAAAAUUAAUUAAAUUUUAAUAUCUCGAAUUUAAAAAAUUUAAAUAAUUAAUUUUAUUAAUAUAAAAAUAUUAAAUAUUAUAAUUAUUUAGAAACAAAAAAUUAAUCAAUUUUAAAAUUAUCUAGUUAUUUAUUAAAUAAAUUUAAUUUAAAUAUAAUUUUUAAACAACAAAAUUUAUGUAAAUUAAUUAAUUAUAUUAAUAAUUUUAGGAAUAAACUUGAAAUUAUUUUUAAAAAUUUUUUAUAAUUUUUAUAAUAAUAUAAAAUUAAAAUUUUUUUUAUUAAUAUAAAUUUAAUAAUUUAAUUAAAAAUAAUUAAUUAUUUAAAAAAAUUUUAAAAAAUUAAUAAAUUAAUUAAUUAAAUAAAAAUUUUAAUAUAAUAAUGAUUAAAUUAGUAAUAAUUAAUAUUAAAUUAAUAUAAUUUAUAAUUUUAAAUUAAAUUUAAUAAACUUGGCAAAAUUUAUAUUCACCUGUUUAACAAAAACAUGUCUUAUUGAUCAUAAUUUUAAGUCAAAUUUGCUCAAUGAUAAAUUAAAUAGCUGCAGUAUUAAUAACUGUACAAAGGUAGCAUAAUAAUUAGUUUUUUAAUUAAAAACUAGAAUGAAAGAUUUAAUGAAAUAUAAACUGUCUCAAAUUUAAAAAAUAAAUUUUUUUUUUAAAUUAAAAAACUUAAAUUUUAUUUAAAGACGAGAAGACCCUAAAGAAUUUUUAUUAUAAUUUUUUAAAUUUAUAACUAUGAAUAAUUAUAAUUUUAAUUGGGGAAAUUUUAAAAUUUAAAAAAUUUUUAAUUUUAUAAACAAUUAUUUUUGAAUAAAAAAUUUUUUUUUAAAAAAAUAAAUUAAAUUACCUUAGGGAUAACAGCAUAAUUUUUUUAAAAAGUUCAAAUUUAUAAAAAAGUUUAUGACCUCGAUGUUGAAUUAAGAUAAAAUUUUUUGUAAAAAAAAUAUUUUUUAAGUCUGUUCGACUUUUAAAAUCUUACAUGAUUUGAGUUAAGAUCGGUGUAAGCCAGAUCGGAUUCUAUCUUAAAUUAUAUUUUAUAUUUUUGUACGAAAGGAAUUUUAAUAAAAAAUAAUUUUAAUUUAAAAUAA